GACGUAGGGCGCAAGCGUUGUCCGGAUUUAUUGGGCGUAAAGAGCUCGUAGGCGGCUUGUUGCGUCGACCGUGAAAACCCGCGGCUCAACUGCGGGCUUGCGGUCGAUACGGGCAGGCUGGAGUUCGGUAGGGGAGACUGGAAUUCCUGGUGUAGCGGUGAAAUGCGCAGAUAUCAGGAGGAGCACCGGUGGCGAAGGCGGGUCUCUGGGCCGAUACUGACGCUGAGGAGCGAAAGCGUGGGGAGCGAACAGG
rnacentral:rRNA from 1 species